AACGAACGCUGGCGGCAGGCUUAACACAUGCAAGUCGAGCGCACCGCAAGGUGAGCGGCAGACGGGCGAGUAACGCGUGGGAAUCUACCCAGUUCUGCGGAAUAACACAGGGAAACUUGUGCUAAUACCGCAUACGCCUCCGGGGAACGAUUAUCGGAAUUGGAUGAGCCGCGUUAGAUUAGCUAGUUGGUGGGGUAAAGGCCUACCAAGGCGACGAUCUAUAGCUGGUCUGAGAGGAUGAUCAGCCACACUGGGACUGAGACACGGCCCAGACUCCUACGGGAGGCAGCAGUGGGGAAUAUUGGACAAUGGGCGAAAGCCUGAUCCAGCCAUGCCGCGUGAGUGAUGAAGGCCUUAGGGUUGU
rnacentral:rRNA from 1 species